AUUGAACGCUGGCGGCAGGCUUAAAACAUGCAAGUCGAACGAGUGGCGGACGGGUGAGUAAUGCUUGGGAAUCUAGCUUAUAGAGGGGGAUAACUACGGGAAACUGUAGCUAAUACCGCGUACCAUAGGAUGAAACCAAGUGGGAUUAGGUAGUUGGUGGGGUAAAGGCUCACCAAGCCGACGAUCUCUAUCUGGUCUGAGAGGAUGACCAGGCACACUGGGACUGAGACACGGCCCAGACUCCUACGUGAGGCAGCAGUGGGGAAUAUGGCGCAAUGGGGGCAAGCUGAUGCAGCCAUGCCGCGGGAAUGAAGAAGGCCUUAGGGUUGUAAAGUUCUUUCGGUAGCGAGGCGUUACCUACAGAAGAAGCACCGGCUAACUCCGUGCCAGCCGCCGCGGUAAUUC
rnacentral:rRNA from 1 species